CACGUCACGGUGAAUACACCGGUUCUCGUGCGACCACCGAAGUUAAGUGGCGUCGAGCGCGGCGAGUACUUGGCUGGAUGGACGCCCGGGAAUAUAGCGUG